CCUUCGAUAGCUCAGUUGGUAGAGCGGAGGACUGUAGGAGUGACAAUACCUAGCUAUCCUUAGGUCGCUGGUUCGAUUCCGGCUCGAAGGA
rnacentral:tRNA from 1 species